rnacentral:tRNA from 1 species
GCGCCUGUAGCUCAGUUGGAUAGAGCGUUUCCCUCCGAAGGAAAAGGCCGCUGGUUCGAGCCCAGUCAGGCGCACCA